rnacentral:rRNA from 1 species
UACGGGGGGGGCUAGCGUUGUUCGGAAUUACUGGGCGUAAAGGGCGCGUAGGCGGUCUAUUAAGUUGGAUGUGAAAACUCUGGGCUUAACCCAGAGCCUGCAUUCAAAACUGAUAGGCUGGAGUUCUGGAGGGGAUAGCGGAAUUCCUGGUGUAGCGGUGAAAUGCGUAGAUAUCAGGAGGAACACCGGUGGCGAAGGCGGCUAUCUGGACAGAAACUGACGCUGAGGCGCGAAAGCUAGGGGAGCAAACAGG